AUGGGGUGUAGCUGAGGGAUGACAGGAUUCAGACCUAGUUUCACCGAAAUGGACUGCUACUUAGAAUAAGACAGAUGUGUGGAAACAUUGUCCGGUAAAUAUGUCAGACUUAGUUUUAGUCCAGCUGGAAGAGCUUGAAGGACAGAGGAGGGAUUUUUCCUCCUCUACAGAGGCUGCAAUUGUGUUUUAUUUUGAAAUUUAGAAGAGGCUCUUUUUAACAGAAACCACAAGGAUGCUUACAGUAAAAGGAAGACCUUAGCUCGUCACACUCCUGAGCACCUCCAGUACACCCAUACAUGGCUGAGAGUCGGCUCUGCCCUACAGAGACAGCAAACCACCUCCCUAGAAUGAAUGCCACCAAAUAAGGAUGCAAAUCAUAGAAACCGCUUUAACUCCCCAAAGCCAGAAAGACUCCCUGUAUAUUCACUGCCCAUUAGCCUCGAAGUUAAAGGGAGAGGUUGUCUUGUGGUGUCUGUGAGUGAUUGAAUGAAGUCCAGGACAACGUUUUGAAGAACUGUGUGGAGAGAUUUUCAGCUAGGGCUUGAUGGGAGAAAAUGGAACAAAGACCAGACUUUUCUGUGGCUCGUAGUCCCCAGGCAGGAUUCUCCUACAGCCUGGUCUUCACAAGGAAAGACAUUUUUGGGGAAGUGACAAGGCAAAGGAAAAGGACUUUGGGUCUCCACCGGCAACAAAUUGUGUGAAAGCAACUAUGAGGGAAACGAAGUCUCCCUUACCUCAGUUUGCUUCCACAAGAGGCUAUGCUGUACCUCAAAACACUGCAACAUAUGAGCUUCAGAAAGGAGAAGAGAAAAAAAAAAGAUUUCUGGACAACCAGUCUGUAUAAAAUACCUAGGGCAAUUCUUGGCACCAAAAACGUGUUCACUUGAAAUUUUGUCAUUUCGAAGAGAUUGGGUGAAAUUGGUUCGAAUGCACAUCCCCCACAGGGAAAAGUGUGUGGAACAAUGGUUAGAUUGGCAGUUUCCCAUGAUAAUGAAAGGAAUACCUGUUGGCUCUAAGGAUCUUAACCCAAGAUGUCAUAUCCCAGGAGAGAAUCAGAGGCUUUACUCACACCCAGGAAAGCCAGAAGAAGGCAGAGAAAUAGAAGGAAAGAAAAAGACAAAAAUGAAGAAUAAAGCCAAAUCUUUACCAUGCUACAACAGACACAUGUUUGGAACACUGUACCGGGAGUUAGACUCACCGCUGUGGAUCCCGACCUCCCAGCCAGGAAAGGACUCAGCAUCCGCUAGGAUGGCAUUGACCCCUGGGUGAAGAAAGCAAUGUCCUGGGGGCAGAGUUACAGCAUCAUCAGUGUCAAAGAAAAAAAAAUGCAAUCUGGACAUUAGUAUGAAGGAUUUCUUUAAGGGGGUUAUUGCAAUAGAAGGAGAAGAGUAUCAUAAUAGGAAGAUGCUCGAAGACUAAGUCAGAAAUGUCUCAGGGGAGGGAUGGGUGGGCAAAGCUUUUAAAUGCAGAGAUGCCUGGGAAAGGAGGAGGGGAGAUGAAAGCUGGUGUGGGAGGGGGUUCUUGAAACUUAGCCUUCAUCAAAUAUUGUACUAACAGGGAAGACAAGGCAGGAAGUAUUGGUUUGUGGUUAAGCACAUGGGGCGGGGUCUGCACUUGAGACAAGCAAACAAGUUAAGGUACAGAAAAUGUACAUGGGUUUGAGGGCCUUGCCAUCUUAGAGUUAUGUUAAGCUCAAAGUUUGAUUAGCCUUGUCAGCACCUAAAAUUGUUUUUGAGAUUUCCCAGAGGGUUUCUGAAAAAUCUCUUUUGUAAAAAGAGAAAUGUUAGGAAUAAUGACGGUUAUUUGAUAUGUCACUGAUGAUGAGUUACAUGGGAAAUGUUCUCAAAUCAGAAGAAAUGCCUAGACUUCCCUAGGUUAAAUUUGUAUGGUUAAAAUGUUAUUAACAUAAAUAUUUAAACAAUUGUGUUCUGUAUGGGAAGGUUCUAGACAAUGGUCAAUGUUUUUGCUGUUCAUGAUAUGUUUCUAUUUAUCAGAGUCUUGAUGUUGCUUAGCCCAUAAGACAAAAGCAGUAUUGUAUUAGCACUCAUAAUUUCAGUUAUUUUUAAAAAACAUUAACUUGGUUGCAACUUUACUUUUUAACUCAAAUCUAGUGUACCUCAGGCGGUAGUGUUAUACUGGGGAUUCACAUCAUCUAUCUAUCGAUUUUAUUAAUCUAUUGAUAUUUAGAAACUACUUUAGAUGUACUGAAUCUAUUUACUUGAUAAUCUUGAUAUAUUCUUGGUAUAUUCUAACUUUGGGCUAGGUAUCUAUGUUAUCUAACGUUUCAGGAUUUUUAUAUGGUAUAUUUUCUUUGUGAAGUGUAUGUUUAUCUAUUUUCAUAAAUUAGAUGUAAUCUCUACUCUUCUUUGAAAAUAGGCAUAAAUCUUUGUGCUUACACAUAUUUUGUCAAAAACUUUUUUGAAUUGACUUUGUUUGUUUUGCAUGCCACGGAAACGAUCAGAAAUGCUUGUCAAUUGCAUUAUUCUUGUAAUGAACCCUCUUCGGAUCAUUCUCUUUUGAAAAAUAUCAACAGUGAGCAAACAAUAGACAUUUCUAGUCUUUUGUCAUCUACAGAGAGCCUGUAUGUUUUGUUUUACUCCUGAUGCUUCCAUGAAAUCACCUGGAAUCGGUUAUAAGGCAGAGUGUUCCAUCUUCAACAAAUAUUCUCAGAUCAGAUCCCUGUCUAAGAGCCUGGUGAAGCGGUACUCUUGGGUACAGACUGCUGAUGGCAUUGCUUCAAUAAUUAUGAGAUCAUACCAGUGGACUGAGUCAGGAGUUCCAGACUUUAGUCAAGAAGCAGUGAUCUUCAUUUAUUACCACAGCUUUUUCAGAGUUUCCUUCAACACACAGUUUGCAUUGACCAUCACCAUGGCCUCCAGUUUUCAACUGGGCACCCAGAACCCAUUGUGUUUUAUUGCUCGCUGCUUGUCAAGUCCACAGUGAGUGAUAAUCCCAAUGAAGAAAGAUCAGGAAGAUCUUUCAUGUGGCUGACGAUGGAGGCAACUAACAAUCUCUGAGCAGUGAAGAUCUGGAUCACUAGCUUUCCCUGAACUGGUCAACUUAUUGCAAGUAUCCCUGUUUAAAAUGUCUGGACUUCAAGAUUCUGAAACAAUUGACCUUAGCUAUAACCUCUCAGCUGACGGUUCAACUUAUUUUAUAGGAACAACACCAACAAAAGUCCUAGAGAGAUCCUGCCUUGUCUCACUCAGGAGGAAAGGACUUACUGAAAAGAGGCAUCACUCUUCUCCGUACAAUUUAUAUAAGACUCCCAGUCCAUUCCUUCUCAUGACUCCAAUAAGAGUUGUGUGUCUAGGUGUCUGUGGACAAUUAGUUUUUGACAAAGAUGCCAAGACCAUUCAAUGGGAAAAGAAUAGUGUUUUCAACAAAUGACUCUGGGACAACUGGAUAUAGUCACAUGCAGAAGAAUGAAAUUGGAUCCUUAUC